rnacentral:rRNA from 1 species
CCUACGGGAGGCAGCAGUAGGGAAUCUUUCACAAUGGGCGAAAGCCUGAUGGCGCAACGCCGCGUGCAGGAUGAAGGCCUUCGGGUUGUAAACUGCUUUUAUAAGCGAGAAAUAUGAUGGUAACUUAUGAAUAAGGAUCGGCUAACUACGUGCCAGCAGCCGCGGUCAUACGUAGGAUCCGAGCAUUAUCCGGAGUGACUGGGUGUAAAGAGUUGCGUAGGUGGCAUAAUAAGUAGCUAGUGAAAUCUGGUGGCUCAACCAUUCAGACUAUUAGCUAAACUGUUAAGCUCGAGAGCGUUAGGGGUAACUGGAAUUUCUAGUGUAGGAGUGAAAUCCGUAGAUAUUAGAAGGAACACCAAUAGCGUAGGCAGGUUACUGGGACGGUUCUGACACUAAGGCACGAAAGCGUAGGGAGCAAACGGGAUUAGAUACCCUUGUAGUC